UACAGAGGUCUCAAGCGUUGUUCGGAUUCAUUGGGCGUAAAGGGGUGCGUAGGCGGCGCGGUAAGUCGGGUGUGAAAUCUCGGAGCUUAACUCCGAAACUGCAUUCGAUACUGCCGUGCUUGAGGACUGGAGAGGAGACUGGAAUUUACGGUGUAGCGGUGAAAUGCGUAGAUAUCGUAAGGAAGACCAGUGGCGAAGGCGGGUCUCUGGACAGUUCCUGACACUGAGGCACGAAGGCCAGGGGAGCAAACGGG
rnacentral:rRNA from 1 species